rnacentral:lncRNA from 1 species
UUGCAUUUAAUUACACCUAUACGCACUUCUCACUAUAUUUCAUACACUUGCACACAAACACUUGGAAUUUUCAUACAAUUGCACACGUGCACCUUUCCAUACACUUGCACACAAACACUUGGAUUUUUAAUUUCUUUCAUACACUUCCACACUUGCACAUUUGAGUCUCAUUUGCAUUAAUCGACCUCUAUGGGGUUUUCCUUUGUUGGCCGCCACAAUUCAUGUGGUUUGGGACCAAAAGCCUCACGAGAGACAUCGUAG